GGGUAGCUCAGUUGGUUAGAACUCGGUGCUGAUAAUGCCAAGGUUGCAGGUUUGAUCCCUGUAUGGGACA